rfam:Pteropus vampyrus cont1.135828, whole genome shotgun sequence.
CUGUGCCUCCUGAUUGCUGAGUGUUCACCUGGACCUUCCAACUACCUUCCUUGUGCUGUCCCAUCAGCCUACAGAUCUGGUACCUGGAUUUUUGCCCAUGGUGAUUCCUAUCACUUAACUACUGAAGAAGACACCAUUCCAGUGGACCACUGUGACUCAAGAGGCAUUCAGCCAUCAUAUCUUGGCCUUCACCUCUAUUCUUGUCCUUUUCUACACAGAAUGAGCACCACCCUUUA